rnacentral:rRNA from 1 species
AUUGAACGCUAGCGGCAGGCUUAAUACAUGCAAGUCGUGGGGCAGCGCAGGUAGCAAUACUGGGCGGCGACCGGCAAACGGGUGCGGAACACGUACACAACCUUCCGAGAAGUGGGGAAUAGCCCAGAGAAAUUUGGAUUAAUACCCCGUAACAUAACGAUGUGGCAUCACAUUGUUAUUAUAGCUUCGGCGCUUCUUGAUGGGCGUGCGGCUGAUUAGAUAGUUGGCGGGGUAACGGCCCACCAAGUCUACGAUCAGUAGCUGAUGUGAGAGCAUGCUCAGCCACACGGGCACUGAGACACGGGCCCGACUCCUACGGGAGGCAGCAGUAAGGAAUAUUGGUCAAUGGACGCAAGUCUGAACCAGCCAUGCCGCGUGAAGGAUUAAGGUCCUCUGGAUUGUAAACUUCUUUUAUCUGGGACGAAAAAAGGCGAUUCUUCGUCACUUGACGGUACCAGAUGAAUAAGCACCGGCUAACUCCGUGCCAGCCGCCGCCGUAACAC